AAUAGGCUCUGGAAAACAUCAGUGCCACCAAUGAAUAGCUUGAUCUUCCCUCUCAGCUCCAAAUGAUUUGUACUGUUGUUCAUAAGGAUGUUGUCUGUUACUGAAAAUGGAGAUGUUACUGCUGGAAAACCAAAUGAAGAGAAAACAUAUAAAAAGACUGCAUCCUCAGCUAUUAAAGGUGCUAUCCAGCUGGGAAUAGGAUACACAGUAGGAAACCUUACAUCAAAACCAGACAGAGAUGUUCUUAUGCAAGACUUCUAUGUAGUGGAAAGUGUUUUCCUACCAAGGUAAGAACAAGCCUUUUCAAUUUGUCUU